rnacentral:rRNA from 1 species
GACAGGUGGUGCAUGGUUGUCGUCAGCUCGUGUCGUGAGAUGUUGGGUUAAGUCCCGCAACGAGCGCAACCCCUAUCUUUAGUAGCCAGCAUUUAAGGUGGGCACUCUAGAGAGACUGCCAGGGAUAACCUGGAGGAAGGUGGGGAUGACGUCAAAUCAUCAUGCCCCUUAUGACUAGGGCUACACACGUGCUACAAUGGUGAUAACAAAGUGAAGCAGCCUCGUGAGAGUGAGCAAAUCACAAAAAUGUCAUCUCAGUUCGGAUUGUAGUCUGCAACUCGACUACAUGAAGCUGGAAUCGCUAGUAAUCGCGAAUCAGAAUGUCGCGGUGAAUACGUUCCCGGGUCUUGUACACACCGCCCGUCACACCAUGGGAGUUGGUAAUGCCCGAAGUCAGUGA